rnacentral:tRNA from 1 species
GCCUCGNUAGCUCAGUCGGUAGAGCAGAGGAUUGAAAAUCCUCGUGUCGGUGGUUCGAUUCCGCCUCCGGGCACCA